UGGGAAAACGACGAUAUCUUCGCGCAUUCAUAAUCUGGCCUUUUGCAGCUUAAUCUCGCCAUUUGCAGCGAAGUUUGCCCGGUUUCCGUCACUUUUUUGCUCUUUGCCAAGUGCUUGGUAAGGCGGGACAAAUGCCGGGCUGCAAAACGGCGCGUCAUUGCGUAGAAUGACGGCGCUAUCCCGGCGCUUCGGAGCAUAUUUUGUCGGUUCAGAGCCAGAGCUAUCAGGCUGGAGCGGAUGCGCGCUAUGCGAAGGCGCGGCGUCACAGCCGCCGCGUGCGCCA
rnacentral:misc_RNA from 1 species